GACGAACGCUGGCGGCGUGCUUAACACAUGCAAGUCGAACGGAAAGGCCCUGCUUUUGUGGGGUGCUCGAGUGGCGAACGGGUGAGUAACACGUGAGUAACCUGCCCUUGACUUUGGGAUAACUUCAGGAAACUGGGGCUAAUACCGGAUAGGAGCUCCUGCUGCAUGGUGUGGGUUGGAAAGUUUCGGCGGUUGGGGAUGGACUCGCGGCUUAUCAGCUUGUUGGUGGGGUAGUGGCUUACCAAGGCUUUGACGGGUAGCCGGCCUGAGAGGGUGAACGGCGACAUUGGGACUGGGAUACGGACCAGACUCCUACGGGAGGCAGCAGUGGGGAAUAUUGCACAAUGGGCGGAAGCCUGAUGCAGCAACGCCGCGUGCGGGAUGACGGCCUUCGGGUUGUAAACCGCUUUCGCCUGUGACGAAGCGUGAGUGACGGUAAUGGGUAAAGAAGCACCGGCUAACUACGUG
rnacentral:rRNA from 1 species